UCGUUAGACAGCUAGGGCAAACACCCUUAGCCAUAGGAAAUAGGCCAGGCCCCCGAGGUGCCGCGGGUCGAGGGCGUCCGAGCAGCUGAUUGGGAGCAGACGACGCGCCCGGACCUCUCGCUGGCCGGACGCGGGCGGCCAAGAUUAUAAAUAGAUCUCCUGGCCAUUUCUGCCGGGUUUGUGAGUGAGGCCUGAGCCUUCGUGAAGAAGCCUCCUUCCCCUCCUCUCUUGCUCUCGCUUCAUCUCACUUUUGACCUUCCGAGGAGCAUAAGGGAAAAUUAGCCAGAAUGGAGCUCUCGUUGGUGGAUCAGUUACGAGAGAAGCUCGAAAAGGCUAAAUUGUCUCGCGAAGAACUGCAGAGAAUUUUUCCUCCGAGCAUUUUUAAGAAGGACAGCAGGACACCU